GUCCAACUAACUUGUUAGAGAUGCCAAAGAUACUUGAGGGUGAUCUCAAGUUCACUCAAAAAGGCAAUCAUAUAUGAGUUUGUUGAAGAGAGAUCUGUAGAAUGUUAUCAACAAUUUAUUCUUUUCAGACCUAAAAGCCAACCUUUGGUGGCUUUGAUAAAAGAUCUCCUAGUGUGUUCCUUGAAAAGAGAACUGAUGUCCUCCCAAAUGUUGGAACAUCUGACCAGCAGAUUAUGC
rnacentral:lncRNA from 1 species